GGAGACCUCAGAGGUGCUUUGUGCGUGUCUCCAUCUGUCUGACUGCGGCAAGAGGAUGAUGAAGGUCCAUUGUAUACUCCUCCUCCUCAUCUCCACAGCUGGGCUGGCCCUGGGCUAUGAGGACGAGACUCGCCUGGUGGAGCACUUGUUCAGUAACUACAACAAGGUGGUGCGGCCCGUGGAGGACCAUCGGGACGCCGUCGUUGUCACCGUGGGGCUGCAGCUCAUCCAGCUCAUUAGCGUGGAUGAAGUAAAUCAGAUUGUGACAACCAAUGUACGCCUGAAACAGCAAUGGACAGACGUCAACCUCAGAUGGAAUCCAGAUGACUACGGCGGCGUAAAAAAAAUCCGCAUCCCCUCAGAUGAUAUCUGGCGGCCAGACCUUGUUCUUUACAACAACGCAGACGGUGAUUUUGCCAUUGUAAAAUACACCAAAGUCCUUCUGGAGCACACAGGGCGUAUCACCUGGACACCACCAGCUAUUUUUAAGAGUUACUGUGAAAUUAUAGUCACGCACUUCCCAUUCGACCAGCAGAACUGCAGCAUGAAGUUGGGAACUUGGACAUAUGAUGGCACAGUGGUUGUUAUUAACCCGGAGAGUGAUCGUCCAGACCUGAGUAACUUCAUGGAGAGUGGGGAGUGGGUGAUGAAGGAUUACCGUGGCUGGAAGCACUGGGUUUACUACGCUUGCUGCCCUGACACCCCUUACCUGGACAUCACCUACCACUUCCUCAUGCAACGCCUGCCUCUCUACUUCAUUGUGAACGUCAUCAUCCCCUGCCUGCUCUUCUCCUUUUUAACAGGGUUAGUUUUUUACCUACCCACAGAUUCAGGUGAGAAAAUGACCCUGAGCAUCUCUGUCCUGCUGUCUUUGACUGUGUUCCUGCUGGUCAUCGUGGAGCUGAUUCCCUCCACCUCCAGCGCAGUGCCUCUGAUUGGCAAGUACAUGCUGUUCACCAUGGUGUUCGUCAUCGCUUCGAUCAUCAUCACCGUCAUCGUCAUCAACACCCACCACCGCUCCCCGAGCACGCACACCAUGCCCCCCUGGGUCAGGAAGAUCUUUAUUGACACAAUCCCAAACGUCAUGUUUUUCUCUACAAUGAAACGACCAUCAAGAGACAAACAAGACAAAAAUAUUUUUGCAGAAGAUAUUGAUAUUUCUGACAUUUCUGGGAAGUCAGGUUCUAUGCCUGUCAACUUCUACUCCCCGCUUACCAAAAAUCCAGAUGUGAAAAACGCUAUAGAAGGAAUCAAAUACAUUGCAGAAACUAUGAAAUCGGACCAAGAAGCCAGUAAUGCUGCAGAAGAAUGGAAGUUUGUUGCAAUGGUGCUUGAUCAUCUCCUCCUUGGCAUAUUUAUGUUAGUUUGUUUUAUAGGAACAUUAGCUGUAUUUGCUGGUCGCCUUAUUGAAUUAAAUCAGCAAGGAUGAACGUCAGCUGGAAACUAUUUGCUACCCUGAACAUCUGAAAGCACCAUAACCAUCAGAAUCGGGCCAGCCUCUGAAAGGUUCACUGACAGGAAUCAGGAACCACUGGGAAAGAGCAGGGAUAGUAAAACGUAAGGCCCCAUAUUUAGCACUUCUGAGCUGCUGCUCAGUAGCAUUUAAUUGCCAAAAAGAAACACUUGCAUUAGUGGUAAAACUGAACAGCUGUUGGCCAGGUUUUGAUCCAUCUUACCCUUUAUUAAAUAUGUUAAUGUAUUAAUAAGAUUGUCUGACUUUGUAAGCAACAGAUACUAUUCCAGUGAAGUAAACAGCAGUGUAAUAAGCUUUAGCUGAGCUGUAAAUCUGUAUCCAACUUUGGCAUUCAAGCUGGUUUUAAUAUCUGCUCUGUAGCUUUUAUAUUAGCAGGUCACUCCUCUGAUAAUACUAGAUAUAACCGUCAGAAAUAUUUCAAACUCCAUGCUUAAGCACUUGAUUUUGAUGCAGAAAUCUGAAUUGUCAUGCAUGACUCCACCUGUAGAAGCUCUUGCUGUAGCAAAGUGGAGAGAUUUACUUGGACAGGAUCCAUCCUGUUUCUAGAAUAAUCUCCAUAUUCAGCCUACUCUGCUCUUGGAAGGUUGGUUUCCACUCCGCAUUUGGAGCGAUGACUAAUGCUGGGGCACCUUCGACCUUGAGGGUGUUUAUUUAAACACAAUCCUCUCUGUUUCGGAAAACCGUCCCCUGCCCUGCUGCACUGGACCGUGAUCCCUGGAGCCAGCCCGGCCUCGCCGCUCCCUGCCGGGGCGCUGCGGGUCCCCGCCGCGCUGCCGCGUCCCGCUGACGGAGCGCUCCUCCCGGAGCAGCGCCGGGAGCAGCCCCAGCUCUGCUCAAAAGUGGAGCAGCAGCUCGCUCUGGUGGCUAAAGCCAAGCACUGCUGCCUCUGCCCAGCACCGCCGGAUUUGUUUACUCCACGUUCGACGUAAGCAAGAAGCCUCUCUGCGUUCGAAUAAUGCCGUGUGGCAAUACCGGCAGCACUGCCUCUUCUUCUCAAAAAUAAAUAAGGAUAGGUGGAGCAACUGCGACAAGUUACUCAUCUUUUCCAGCUGGUUGUCCAAGCCAAGAGGACUACUUUGCUAACAGCUGUAAACAAUUUGCUGAUGUAAGUUGCUGCCAACCUCCUUGCUGUAGCAGUCUCCCCAGAGAAGUGUGAAAGCAGUGUGAGUUUCAUCAGCCUGCUGACUCAGCAGUUCCUGUUUCCACAGCUGAGGCAAGCCACAGCGGGUAGGGACACAGGGCAACAGAGAACGUGUAGCACAGGACCCACAUAAGUGCAUAAACACUGGGCUGCUGCUGGAGACAGGGAGUGUGUUACCUCCCUGAAGGGUUUGUUUUCUGCUAUGGGGACAGGCAAGAUAUCACCUUUAAAGUCACUGAUAGUUCAGCACAUCAGAAAUGCUUUUGACUUUGGACACUUCUAGAAGAUUGCUGUCCUUGGCUCCAGUCACAAGACCUCAUAUUUUCAUAUGUUUACUAGUGAUAGAUAAAUUCUAGCACAGCUUCCAGGCCCCUGGGCAUGCUGCUGGCUAUAAAUUACCUCUCUCCUUCUCUUCUUAAAAAUUGUGAAUCUGAUACAAAGUCUCCCAAGCUUCUGAAGGUUGCACAUAUACUGACUUCUAACAAAGCUCUAGAGCACUAAUCUCUUUCUGGAAUUCAAAUCCCAAGUACAGAAAAGGCAAUCAUGCACUGCUACGCAAAAUAUUCUCUAAAAUGAUCAUGCUUCAGACCCCAGUAAAGUCUGAGAGUGACACAGCUAUGAGAAAGAGCCAACCUGUAGGCAAGCAUUUUCAUGCCCACUGUGAGAGCCAUGCUGAGUCCUGCUGGCUGCAGGUGGGUUAUCUACAGAAAGGACAGGACAAUUUCUCUUGUCACCAUGCAACAGGCCAGCCUGACCAGCAGGCAGAAGUCUAAAGGAGUUUGUAGGCUACUACAUCACAGUGAUGAUGGAUCACUCAGUGGAUUCCCCAUAAAGGGAAAAUUCUUUCCUAGCAAAAGUUGUCACCAUUUCCUGUCAUCCCAGCACAGGUCUCCCAUUGCAGCACAUCUUCCCAACUUCUAAAAGCUGAGCAGAUCUGUGUCAGUCUAUCUAUUUAUCCCAUAUGGAGCCUGGAUUUAACACAUUACAUGGUAUUUCCCCAGCAUGUAGACAAGAUGAAGCUGUUUGCCUCAAUGUGACUUCUCAGCUAACCAAUGACCCGAAUGCAGUUUGCCAUGCUGAGGAACCUCAUGUGGAUUUGUGACCCUCUUUAGAGAGCUUUGGGACUGUAAAGACAGUAAACACAGAGUACCUGCAGUUUUGCUAUUUGUGAGCACUGAAAUUUUUGCUUGCAAGCUAAUCUAAUUGUGUGUACAGGUCAGAAAAGGGUACACAUAAAAAAUUGUACCAGUUUUUGUGUUUUCUUGUAAUGCUCCAAGCAAACAAUGACACAGAAACAGAGACAUGACCUACAUAAAAGCCUGGCAAGGUUUCCAGCCUUCCACUGAAGACAGCACAGUAAUACCAUUGCUCUUAUGACCUCAUGCUCACCAUAAUGCUGUGCCUUCAGGCAACAGCUCAUCUCCUGAGGAAAACAUGAAAGUAAAUUGCAGCAGGUUAACUUAGCACACAGGUUACUCAGUCUUUGACCUUGCUAGGACAUGUUGCUACAAGUGAAUCAAGAGCAUAUUUCAGUUCUCCAGGACACCUGUCCCUAACUUUUUCAUUUUAGAUAACAGUGUUAUACAGCUGCUGGGCUGGACCAUGGCAAAGCAUGGAGUAAACAGAAACCAUCUGAACACCUCCAAAAUGUGAAAUCCUACAGAGACAAAAGCAUGUGAGAUCAAUGUUGGCUCAAAUAGACAUCCAGGACACAGUUCUUGCACUUCAAACCUUGCACCUAUCUGCACAAGCUACUCCAUUACGUAUACUUGGGCAU